rnacentral:lncRNA from 1 species
UGCAUUCGACGAACCCAAAUCUCCUCCACCACCAUCUCCCUCACCUCCAUACUACUACUAUUCACCACCUUACAAAUACUCCUCACCACCUCCACCACCUUACAAGUACUCAUCGCCUCCUCCACCACCUUACAAAUACUCAUCGCCUCCUCCACCACCUUAUAAGUACUCAUCGCCUCCGCCACCAUACAAAUACUACUCGCCACCUCCACCGCCCUACUAUGACCAUCCGUAUUAUUAUGAUCACUCUCCAUCUCCACCGCCUUAUAAAUACUCCUCACCUCCACCGCCAUAUAAGUACUACUCACCUCCACCACCUUACAAGUACUCAUCGCCUCCUCCGCCAGCAUACAAAUACUCAUGGUAUUCUCCGCCGCCAUACAAAUACUACUCGCCUCCUCCACCUCCCUACUAUUACAAGUCUCCACCUCCACCACCCUACUAUGACCAUCCUUAUUAUUAUGAUCACUCUCCAUCUCCACCGCCUUACAAAUACUCCUCACCUCCUCCACCUUACAAGUACGCCUCCCCUCCACCACCAUACAAAUACUCCUCGCCUCCUCCACCUCCCUACUAUUAACACUUCCGCAUACCCCUCUCCACCACCUUAUAAGUACUCCUCACCUACUCUACCAC